rnacentral:sRNA from 1 species
GAGGCGGCGUCAUGUCCUCCGAGGUGUCCGCGCGCCGCGACGCCAAGAAGCUGGUGCGCUCCCCGAGCGGCCUGCGCAUGGUGCCCGAACACCGCGCCUUCGGAAGCCCGUUCGGCCUGGAGGAGCCGCAGUGGGUCCCGGACAAGGAGUGUCGGAGAUGUAUGCAGUGUGACGCCAAGUUUGACUUUCUCACCAGAAAGCACCACUGUCGCCGCUGCGGGAAGUGCUUCUGCGACAGGUGCUGCAGCCAGAAGGUGCCGCUGCGGCGCAUGUGCUUUGUGGACCCCGUGCGGCAGUGCGCGGAGUGCGCCCUGGUGUCCCACAAGGAGGCGGAGUUCUACGACAAGCAGCUCAAAGUGCUCCUGAGCGGAGCCACCUUCCUCGUCACAUUUGGAAACUCAGAGAAACCUGAAACUAUGACUUGUCGUCUUUCCAAUAACCAGAGAUACUUGUUUCUGGAUGGAGACAGCCACUAUGAAAUCGAAAUUGUACACAUUUCCACCGUGCAGAUCCUCACAGAAGGCUUCCCUCCUGGAGGUAAAUGCCAGCACAUCCUUUCCUAAGCC